rnacentral:rRNA from 1 species
GAUGAACGCUGGCGGCGUGCCUAAUACAUGCAAGUCGAGCGAACAGACGAGGAGCUUGCUCCUUUGACGUUAGCGGCGGACGGGUGAGUAACACGUGGGUAACCUACCUAUAAGACUGGGAUAACUUCGGGAAACCGGAGCUAACACCGGAUAAUAUUUCGAACCGCAUGGUUCGAUAGUGAAAGAUGGCUUUGCUAUCACUUAUAGCUGGUCCUGCGCCGUAUUAGCUAGUUGGUAAGGUAACGGCUUACCAAGGCAACGAUACGUAGCCGACCUGAGAGGGUGAUCGGCCACACUGGAACUGAGACACGGUCCAGACUCCUACGGGAGGCAGCAGUAGGGAAUGUUCCGCAAAGGGCGAAAGCCUGACGGAGCAACGCCGCGUGAGUGAUGAAGGUCUUCGGAUCGUAAAACUCUGUUAUUAGGGAAGAAGAAACGUGUAAGUAACUGUGCACGUCUUGACGGUACCUAAUCAGAAAGCCACGGCUAACUACGUG